rnacentral:lncRNA from 1 species
ACUUCAUCAGAACCCAGAUCGGAUGGCUGACAUUUGAUCUGACCCUGAUAAGGAUUAUAACUCUGAUUUUUGAGCAGAUCUGGGCGGUCCGAAGCUGAUCCGACGGCCAGAAAUAUUCCUAAGGAGAUUUAUACGAUUUCUAAGGGUUUUAGGACUCCUUUUCCUACCAAAAAAUCAUGAAAAAUUCAUCUAUAAAUAGGGGGUCCGGGAAUAAGCUUUGGG